CACAGCACAUCCUGCUCCAGGUCUUUGAUGAAGAACUGACAGUUGGAGUUCCACUUGGGGUUCAGCGUGUCCUGCAGGGUCUUGGUGAUGUGGCACUGCGACCCCAUCGUCACCUCACAACACUUUCACCCAAUGACACUUAUAAUUCAGGAACAACAAUCAAGCAUCAGGAUGUUCGGAGACCUUUUGAGCAGCAAAGUGAUUCUAGUUGAUAUGAGCAUGUGAGAGGAGAGCAGGCACAGGAAGUGCACUGUCAGUGUGAGAAUGCUACAGUGUCCUAACUGCAUGUGACGUGAGCGAGCAUUACUGUAGCAACAAUUUCAGUUUGAUUACAUCAUAUUUUCUUUGAAGUCGCUUGCAUUGUUCUGCUAUGUUGAACAAGAGGUAUGACACAAUAGCAUCAGCAUGUUUAACAGAGAGAGUGGACAGAGAAAACUCAAGGCUACGCCACAGUCAGACCCUCGCAUGCAGUUAGGAUGAACUGUUAGGAGUGUGUUAGAAGUGUUUUAAAGGAAUGUGUAUAGAAGAGCAUGCAAGAGCCCAGGAAAAGUACUACUAGUAAAUAUUUCCCUCUCAUUGCAUCAACAGGCAUUUCCAGGAAAUUGUGAGCACUGAGGGUCAGAGGGUGCUUUUGCGCCCACUUCAGGCGUAUUUGUUUCGCAAUG